rnacentral:rRNA from 1 species
GAUGAACGCUGGCGGCGUGCCUAAUACAUGCAAGUAGAACGCUGAAGGAGGAGCUUGCUCUUCUGGAUGAGUUGCGAACGGGUGAGUAACGCGUAGGUAACCUGCCUGGUAGCGGGGGAUAACUAUUGGAAACGAUAGCUAAUACCGCAUGACAACAGUUAUUGCAUGAUAACUGUUUAAAAGGGGCAACUGCUCCACUACCAGAUGGACCUGCGUUGUAUUAGCUAGUUGGUGAGGUAACGGCUCACCAAGGCGACGAUACAUAGCCGACCUGAGAGGGUGAUCGGCCACACUGGGACUGAGACACGGCCCAGACUCCUACGGGAGGCAGCAGUAGGGAAUCGUCGGCAAUGGACGGAAGUCUGACCGAGCAACGCCGCGUGAGGGAAGAAGGGUUUCGGAUCGGAAAGCUCUGUUGUAAGAGAAGAACGAGUGUGAGAGUGGAAAGUUCACACUGUGACGGUAUCUUACCAGAAAGGGACGGCUAACUACGUG